GCCGGGGUGGCAGAGCGGUUAAUGCGCAGGCCUGGAGAGCCUGUGGCCCUCACCGGGCCGCGAGGGUUCGAAUCCCUCCCCCGGCG
rnacentral:tRNA from 1 species